GGAGUUGGACGGAUCAUCGCCGCGGCAUUUAUGCCGGGGAGGAAAGUCCGGGCUCCAAAGGGCAGGGCGCUGGGUAACUCCCAGCGGAAGUGAUUCCGGGAAAGUGCCACAGAAAACAGACCGCCCCGGUGAUUAUUCAUCGGGGUAAGGGUGAAACGGUGGGGUAAGAGCCCACCGGCGGGCAUGGUGACAUGUCCGGCCAGGUAAACCCCGUCCGGAGCAAGACCAAAUAGGGAAGUGUUUGAGGCCGGCCCGGCCGAGCUUUCGGGUAGGUUGCUUGAGGUGUAUGGUAACAUGCAUCCUAGAGGAAUGAUGAUCAUCCGUUUCGGCGGAUACAAGACCCGGCUUAUAGUCCGACUCCUCUU
rnacentral:RNase_P_RNA from 1 species